UACGAAGGGGGCUAGCGUUGUUCGGAUUUACUGGGCGUAAAGCGCACGUAGGCGGAUUGUUAAGUCGGGGGUGAAAUCCUGGAGCUCAACUUCAGAAUUGCCUUCGAUACUGGCUUUCUAGAGGCUGGAAGAGGUUAGUGGAAUUCCCAGUGUAGAGGUGAAAUUCGUAGAUAUUGGGAAGAACACCAGUGGCGAAGGCGGCUUCCUGGACCGAUACUGACGCUGAGGCGCGAAAGCUAGGGGAGCAAACGGG
rnacentral:rRNA from 1 species